rnacentral:lncRNA from 1 species
UUAAGUUUUCUGAAUUCAAAAAUCAUUCUCUCUCAAAUAUCUUCUUGUUUGCAAGCCUAGAAGGCCUAGUAAACUCUUGGAAGGUUGACCUCACCAACUUCCUCUUCAUGCAUACACCAUUGUCAACACAUGUUCAUCUAUUCGGUUUCCUUCACACUUCAAUCAUGUCUUCCGCUGCCUCUCAUUCCUCACUUCCACAAGUAUGAACCAUGAAUCACAUCAGGUGGA